GACGAACGCUGGCGGCGUGCUUAACACAUGCAAGUCGAACGGAAAGGCCCUGCUUUUUUGGGGUGCCCGAGUGGCGAACGGGUGAGUAACAGGUGAGUAACCUGCCCUUGACUUUGGGGUAACUUCAGGAAACUGGGGCUACUACCGUACAGGAGCUCCUGCUGCGUGGUGGGGGUUGGAACGUUUCGGCGGGUGGGGUUGGACUCGCGGCUUAUCAGCUUGUUGGUUGGGUAGUGGCUUACCAACGCAUUGACGGGUAGGCGGCCUGAGAGGGGGACCGGCGACAUUGGGACUGAGAUACGGACCAGACUCCUACGGGAGGCAGCAGGCGGGAAUAUUGCACAAUGGGCGGAAGCCUGAUGCAGCAACGCCGCGUGCGGGAUGACGGCCUUCGGGUUGUAAACCGCUUUCGCCUGUGACGAAGCGUGAGUGACGGUAAUGGGUAAAGAAGCACCGGCUAACUACGUG
rnacentral:rRNA from 1 species